rnacentral:rRNA from 1 species
AGUGAACGCUGGCGGUAGGCCUAACACAUGCAAGUCGAACGGCAGCACAGUAAGAGCUUGCUCUUACGGGUGGCGAGUGGCGGACGGGUGAGGAAUACAUCGGAAUCUACUUUUUCGUGGGGGAUAACGUAGGGAAACUUACGCUAAUACCGCAUACGACCUACGGGUGAAAGCAGGGGAUCUUCGGACCUUGCGCGAUUGAAUGAGCCGAUGUCGGAUUAGCUAGUUGGCGGGGUAAAGGCCCACCAAGGCGACGAUCCGUAGCUGGUCUGAGAGGAUGAUCCGCCCCACUGGAACCUGGGACCCGUCCCGGCCUCUAACGGGAGGCACAGUGGGGAAUUUUGGGCCAUGGGGGGAAACCCGGUCCCAGCCUUCCCGGUGGGUUGAGGAGGCCCUCCGGGUUUUAAAGCCCUUUGGUUGGAAAAAAAAGCAGCAGGUUAAUACCCCGCUGUUCUGACGGUACCCAAAGAAUAAGCACCGGCUAACUUCGUG